GCGCAGAGCCAACUACCGUCAAGAUAGAGCCAGAGUUAAUGAUUGAUGACCACAAGCCGAAUAAUGAUAACUCUUUUGAGACAGACCUAAUUGAACAGGAAGCCGAAACGAAAAUCAAGGAUCAAACGGGGCUGUCAACAACGAGCAACUCAUCGACAACCAACGGAGGGGAAAUCGUAGGAUUUAAAGUCUCCGCGAACAAAGGAAAAAUAGAAGAAUGAAGGGGAAUACUUGCCUAGAGUAUAAACAGUGGAUCUCGCUGAGGUGAACGUCCCUAUUCUUGUUCACAGUGUCCAAAAGCGUUCGUAAGGUAUUCAAACCUCCAGACGCACAUUAAAACUCAUACGGGUGAACGUCCCUAUCUUUGUCCAGAAUGUUUGAAGG